rnacentral:pre_miRNA from 1 species
GCAAUUAGGACCUGAUCCAAAGCCCAUUAAUGUCAAUGAGAAUAGUUCCAUUGAUUUAAAUGGGCUUUGGAUCAGGACCUACUAGG